UACAGAGGUCUCAAGCGUUGUUCGGAUUCAUUGGGCGUAAAGGGUGCGUAGGUGGCGGGGUAAGUCAGGUGUGAAAUCUCGGGGCUUAACCCCGAAACUGCACUUGAUACUGCCUUGCUCGAGUACUGGAGAGGAGAUUGGAAUUUACGGUGUAGCAGUGAAAUGCGUAGAUAUCGUAAGGAAGACCAGUGGCGAAGGCGAAUCUCUGGACAGUUACUGACACUGAGGCACGAAGGCCAGGGGAGCAAACGGG
rnacentral:rRNA from 1 species